GACGAACGCUGGCGGCGUGCUUAACACAUGCCAGUCGAACGGAAAGGCCCCUUUGGGGGUACUCGAGUGGCGAACGGGUGCGUAACACGUGAGUAACCUGCCCUUGACUUCGGGAUAACUUCAGGAAACUGGGGCUAAUACCGGAUAGGAAUCCUUGCUGCAUGGUGGGGGUUGGAAAGCUUCGGCGGCUUUGGAUGGACUCGCGGCUUAUCAGCUUGUUGGUGGGGUAGUGGCUUACCAAGGCUUUGACGGGUAGCCGGCCUGAGAGGGCGACCGGCCACAUUGGGACUGAGAUACGGCCCAGACUCCGACGGGAGGCAGCAGUGGGGAAUAUUGCACAAUGGGCGGAAGCCUGAUGCAGCAACGCCGCGUGCGGGAUGACGGCCUUCGGGUUGUAAACCGCUUUCAGCAGGGGCGAAGCUUGUGGUGACGGUACCUGCAGAAGAAGCACCGGCUAACUACGUG
rnacentral:rRNA from 1 species